GAUGAACGCUAGCGGCAGGCUUAAUACAUGCAAGUCGUGGGGCAGCAUGAGUAGCAAUACUUGAUGGCGACCGGCAAACGGGUGCGGAACACGUACACAACCUUCCGAUAAGUGGGGAAUAGCCCAGAGAAAUUUGGAUUAAUACCCCGUAACAUAUAGAGUAGGCAUCUUCUUUAUAUUAUAGCUUCGGCGCUUAUUGAUGGGUGUGCGUCUGAUUAGGUAGUUGGCGGGGUAACGGCCCACCAAGCCUACGAUCAGUAGCUGAUGUGAGAGCAUAGUCAGCCAAACGGGCACUGGGACACGGGCCCGACUCCUACGGGAGGAAGCAGUAAGGAAUAUUGGAAAAUGGGCGAAAGCCUGAUCCAGCCAUGCCGCGUGAAGGAUUAAGGUCCUCUGGAUUGUAAACUUCUUUUAUUUGGGACGAAAAAAGGGAAUUCUUUCCCACUUGACGGUACCAAGUGAAUAAGCACCGGCUAACUCCGUGCCAGCCGCCGCUGUAA
rnacentral:rRNA from 1 species